UACGGAGGGGGCUAGCGUUGUUCGGAUUUACUGGGCGUAAAGGGCGCGUAGGCGGCGCGGUAAGUCACUUGUGAAAUCUCUGAGCUUAACUCAGAACGGCCAAGUGAUACUGCAGUGCUAGAGUGCAGAAAGGGCAAUCGGAAUUCUUGGUGUAGCGGUGAAAUGCGUAGAUAUCAAGAGGAACACCUGAGGCGAAGGCGGGUUGCUAGGCUGACACUGACGCUGAGGCGCGAAAGCCAGGGGAGCAAACGGG
rnacentral:rRNA from 1 species